GAGAGAGGAGACAAAGUUCGUAAGUCGUCAACGUUUGUUCUUUCGCCAGACUUAGAGCAUCGAAACUGCAAGCACAUAGAGUGAAAAAUCUAUGGGCAUCAACAUCAUUAGGCUAUAUAUCUGCCACUAUCAGUUCGUCAGAACCAUACACCAAAUAGCAAAAACAAUCCCUUUCACUCCAUAUUCAGAAGGAACAGAUUGAAUUUUUCUGGAACUUCUUACCGGCGAAGAGAGAAAUAUUAGUUUCCCCACCACCAUCCAUUUCCUUGCCACAUUUAGACCACCAGAUUGUCGGAACUGACACUGUGCACAUCCCGUACAAUCAAAAGGCUUGCUAUACGGAGAAAGAGACAGAAAUCGCUGCUCCGUUCGCUGCUCCGUUCAUUUCUGCUACCAUCCUUUCUCUUCAACGGUGUAUUCAAAAGAAAAUCGGGGUACAAUGCACAAUUAACCACCAUAGGAAGAUAUUUUUAGUAGUUGGGAGCUGUUGGAGUGGGUUCCAUUAUCUGAAAUUCAGUGUUUCUUCCAAUGACAGUGCUAUGCAAAAAAAAAAAAAAAAAAAAAAAAAAAAAAAAAAAAAAAAAAAAAAUUGAAGAUACUUUAGAAGUUGAACUGGUAGCUGUUUUGCAUUGUUAGAAUUUUGCACGUGAAGAACAAAAAAAGGCUUAUAUUUUCGAAGGUGCUUCAGGUAUUGUUGCUUUUGUAUAUGAAUGAAAAUAAUUAAUUAUUGACUGAGUUUUGAAUUUUUUAUUUUUUUUACUAUUCUGGUGUAUUUAAUAAAACCCAAUUUUUGGAUAUGUAAAUUCAAGUGCUAUUUGGGAAGAAGAGAAAGUAGUUUGUUCCACUUGAGAUUUUUUU